rnacentral:piRNA from 1 species
GCCUUGUGCCUCAUUUCUGGGAGAAC